UACGGAGGGGACUAGCGUUGUUCGGAAUUACUGGGCGUAAAGCGCGCGUAGGCGGAUUUGUAAGUCGGGGGUGAAAUCCCGGGGCUCAACCUCGGAACUGCCUUCGAUACUGCAAAUCUCGAGUCCGGAAGAGGUGAGUGGAAUUCCUAGUGUAGAGGUGAAAUUCGUAGAUAUUAGGAAGAACACCAGUGGCGAAGGCGGCUCACUGGUCCGGUACUGACGCUGAGACGCGAAAGCGUGGGGAGCGAACAGG
rnacentral:rRNA from 1 species